rnacentral:rRNA from 1 species
CCUACGGGAGGCAGCAGUGAGGAAUAUUGGUCAAUGGACGAGAGUCUGAACCAGCCAAGUAGCGUGAAGGAUGACUGCCCUAUGGGUUGUAAAUUUCUUUUAUAAAGGAAUAAAACGAGGCACGUGUGCCUUUUUGCAUGUACUUUAUGAAUAAGGAUCGGCUAACUCCGUGCCAGCAGCCGCGGUAAUACGGAGGAUCCGAGCGUUAUCCGGAUUUAUGGGGUUUAAAGGGAGCGUACAUGGGUUGUAAAGUCAGUUGUGAAAGUUUCCGGCUCAACCGCAAAAUUGCAAUUGAUACUGGCAGUCUUGAGUACAGUUGAGGUAAGCGGAAUUCGUGGUGUAGCGGUGAAAUGCUUAGAUAUCAAGAAGAACCCCGAUUGCGAAGGCAGCUUACUAAACUGUGACUGACAUUGAUGCUCGAAAGUGUGGGUAUCAAACAGGAUUAGAUACCCCUGUAGUC